rnacentral:ncRNA from 1 species
UAAAUAUUUGAUCUUAUCGGUGCUUGCAGGCUUAAAAGGGAAGACGGUGCGAAUCCGUCGCGGUCCCGCCGCUGUAACCGGAAACGAAACCCGCUCAAAGGGCCACUGCCUCAUGAUCAAAUGGGGUGGGAAGGCGCGGGGAGUAGGACGACCCGGGAGUCAGAAGACCUGCCGAUGAGAAAGCUUGAGC